AUUGAACGCUGGCGGCAGGCCUAACACAUGCAAGUCGAACGAGUGGCGGACGGGUGAGUAAUGUCUGGGAAACUGCCUGAUGGAGGGGGAUAACUACGGGAAACGGUGGCUAAUACCGCAUACCAUCGGAUGUGCCCAGAUGGGAUUAGCUAGGUGGUGGGGUAAAGGCUCACGUAGGCGACGAUCCCUAUCUGGUCUGAGAGGAUGAUCAGCCAAACUGGAACUGAGACAGGGUCCAGACUCCUACGGGAGGCAGCAGUGGUGAAUAUUGCACAAUGGGCGCAAGCCUGAUGCAGCCAUGCCGCGUGUGUGAAGAAGGCCUUCGGGUUGGAAAGUACUUUCAGCGGGGAGGCGUUACCCGCAGAAGAAGCACCGGCUAACUCCGUGCCAGCAGCCGCGGUAAUAC
rnacentral:rRNA from 1 species